rnacentral:rRNA from 1 species
UACGUAGGGUGCGAGCGUUGUCCGGAAUUACUGGGCGUAAAGAGCUCGUAGGUGGUUUGUCGCGUUGUUCGUGAAAUCUCACGGCUUAACUGUGAGCGUGCGGGCGAUACGGGCAGACUAGAGUACUGCAGGGGAGACUGGAAUUCCUGGUGUAGCGGUGGAAUGCGCAGAUAUCAGGAGGAACACCGGUGGCGAAGGCGGGUCUCUGGGCCGAUACUGACGCUGAGGAGCGAAAGCGUGGGGAGCAAACAGG